rnacentral:SRP_RNA from 1 species
UUCAUUGACAUGGGCUUGUAACCUAUGUAGGGGCAACAAUGUGGUGGAAUGUUAGGUUGAUUUUGAAGGUUGGGCCUCGUAUGGCUAAUGUUUGGCCUGCCCUAUCCAAGCAUGGAGUUGAGUCAUGUGGCCUAAAUGAAAAUAUGGGCUUCUUGGGUCCUAGAGUGGGGUGGACUGCGUGAGGCUGGUUUUACAGAGCAACGAACGGAUAACGGGCCGGUGCUAUUCAAGUCCAACAAACACCCGAUGGGCAACCUAAUUAAACCACCACUUUU